CGGACGGGUGAGUAAUGUCUGGGAAACUGCCUGAUGGAGGGGGAUAACUACUGGAAACGGUAGCUAAUACCGCAUAACGUCGCAAGACCAAAGAGGGGGACCUUAGGGCCUCCUUGCCAUCGGAUGUGCCCAGAUGGGAUUAGCUAGUAGGUGGGGUAACGGCUCACCUAGGCGACGAUCCCUAGCUGGUCUGAGAGGAUGACCAGCCACACUGGAACUGAGACACGGUCCAG
rnacentral:rRNA from 1 species